rnacentral:rRNA from 1 species
UACGGGGGGGGCAAGCGGUUGUUCGGAAUUACUGGGCGUAAAGGGCUCGUAGGCGGCCAACUAAGUCGGAUGUGAAAUCCCCAGGCUUAACCUGGGAACUGCAUCCGAUACUGGAUGGCUUGAAUCCGGGAGAGGGAUGCAGAAUUCCAGGUGUAGCGGUGAAAUGCGUAGAUAUCUGGAGGAAUACCGGUGGCGAAGGCGGCAUCCUGGACCGGCAUUGACGCUGAUGAGCGAAAGCUAGGGGAGCAAACGGG